GGCCUCGUACGGCAAGCCGGUGCUCGCGUCGUCGUCCGACACGGCGCUGUACGCGGAGGGCGCCAGGGCGACGUUCUACUCGUGGGCGGGGCUG
rnacentral:tRNA from 1 species